GGCACUUUCUUUCUGACAUACCCCUUCAUGUUCUCCUUUCUGUCCAGUUUACAAGUCAACUCUGUGAACAAAUUUGAAUGUGCUCAAGAUUCUUGUUCUCUUGGGGCACUUAGAUGGCUCAGUCAUUAGUCAUGACUUAUAUG